rnacentral:rRNA from 1 species
UACGUAGGGUGCGAGCGUUAAUCGGAAUUACUGGGCGUAAAGCGUGCGCAGGCGGUUCGUUAAGUUCGAUGUGAAAGCCCCGGGCUCAACCUGGGAAUGGCAUUGGAAACUGGCGGACUCGAGUGUGGCAGAGGGGGGUGGAAUUCCGCGUGUAGCAGUGAAAUGCGUAGAGAUGUGGAGGAACACCGAUGGCGAAGGCAGCCCCCUGGGCUGAGAUUGACGCUCAGGCACGAAAGCGUGGGGAGCAAACGGG